rnacentral:rRNA from 1 species
CAGUCGCCGCGGGAAUACGGAGGAUCCAAGCGUUAUCCGGAUUUAUUGGGCGUAAAGGGCUCGCAGGCGGUUUCUUAAGUCUGAUGUGAAAGCCCCCGGCUCAACCGGGGAGGGUCAUUGGAAACUGGGAAACUUGAGUGCAGAAGAGGAGAGUGGAAUUCCACGUGUAGCGGUGAAAUGCGUAGAGAUGUGGAGGAACACCAGUGGCGAAGGCGACUCUCUGGUCUGUAACUGACGCUGAGGAGCGAAAGCGUGGGGAGCGAACAGGAUUAGAUACCCCUGUAGUCCCUGUCUCUUAUAC